rnacentral:tRNA from 2 species
GCAGUUGUGACCAAAUGGUUAAGGCGAAGGACUAGAAAUCCAUUGGGGUCUCCCCCCACAGGUUCAAAUCCUGUUGACUGCG